UUCUUUAUUUUAAUCCAAGAUAGAGUUCCAUUGAUCGGAGAAAUAAAACAAUGAUCAAGGCCUACACUUAGCAUCAGAACAGGAAACACUAAGGCCCAAGUACAAUACAAAGUCAAAUAGGAAGAAGUCCAACUUGGAUUCUAAGACCCGAACCCACACUUAACCCGGCCAAAAGAUCCGAAAAGAAGUGGAUAUCAUGUCGCUACCUCUGGGUUCAACAAUCGCCCUAGUGAAGAACCGAUGGAAGAUUCAUCAACUGUGGCCAGGAGCACUGACUCUUUAACGCUUGGAUGUCUAAGGAAGGCCAGAAGCUCAGUCGAUCGCAUCCUCCAAAGACAGACCCUAUCUUUAGACUUAACAGGCAAUAUGGAAACCAGAUUUAGUUUGGAUGGGAAGUUGCUUCCACUUGAACAAAGAAAGAAACAAUCUCCCGAUCAACAUAGCCACCUCCCACGGUCAAGGGAAGCUUCUUACAGCUCACUAAUCGAACAACAAGGAGGCAACCGACGACUUAUAGUGAACUGUCUCACCAUCUAAGACCACCCACACGAACCGCCCCUCAGUACUAUUCGCUUAUAAGUCAUUUUAGUGUCAUAACUGAGAAAUCCCCAACCUGUAAAACAAAGACAGAAUCCAUUCAAGACCAAGAAGAAAAACAAAGCAGUUAAACCAAAAUCUCUCAAUAUGAAGUUUGACUGCCACCCCACUUUACUGUGGAGAGGGAAAAUCCACAGCAGCGCAGGAAGAGGCCCUUCACCAUUCGGAAGGGCAAAGAGAGCUUCCUACUAAGACAGAAAAAUUGGUGAUGACCCGAACAGACCUAUCUCACCAAGAAUUGACGAUCAGAAUGCAUUUCUGUAUGGUCGUUGGAAUCCAUUUAUCAAUAACCAAUAUAUUCAUUUUGUAUGAUAUAUUUAUUUUCUAUUGGCGAAGUGUAAAUGCACUGUGUAUAAAAAAAUUUUCCUAACCAAGUUGGCCUAUCUUUACAAGACAAGUUCAAUAUUGUGUUCUACGCCAAUACGCCCAAGACAAGGUCUGAGCUAUCACAAUUCACACACAGCAUUUGUGGAUUACCCUUCAAAUGCAGAGAAUUCCGCGGCUUCCUUAUGGUCCAAAAGAAAAAUUAAAAAACUCUGGCGGGAGUUAAAC
rnacentral:lncRNA from 1 species